rnacentral:tRNA from 1 species
GGCCCCUCGGUCCAGCCGGGAGUGGACGCCUCAUUGUCGAUGAGGAGAUCGCCGGUUCAAGUCCGGCAGGGGUCG